GCUCGAUUGGUGACAGCGGAGGGACAUUACCGAGUUAUCAACUCCCAAACCCCUGUGAACAUACCUGAACGUUGCUUCGGCGGGACCGCCCCGGCGCCCUUCACCCGGCCCGGAACCAGGCGCCCGCCGGAGGACCACAAACUCUUGUUUAAUCUAGCGGCAUAUUCUGAGUCUAAAAAACAUAAAUGAAUUAAAACUUUCAACAACGGAUCUCUUGGCUCUGGCAUCGAUGAAGAACGCAGCGAAAUGCGAUAAGUAAUGUGAAUUGCAGAAUUCAGUGAAUCAUCGAAUCUUUGAACGCACAUUGCGCCCGCCAGUAUUCUGGCGGGCAUGCCUGUCCGAGCGUCAUUUCAACCCUCAAGCCCCACGGCUUGGUGUUGGGGACCGGCCCCGUGCCGCCCCCUAAAUGCAGUGGCGACCUCGCCGCAGCCUCCCCUGCGUAGUAGCACAACCUCGCAAGCGGAGCGCGGAGACGGUCACGCCGUAAAACGCCCAACUUUCUUAGAGUUGACCUCGGAUCAGGUAGGAAUACCCGCUGAACUUAAGCAUAUCAUAAGCCCGGAAGGAAAUCUGUCCGGGUUAUUUAAACAGGAGUUUGUGGUCUUCUGGCGCGCGCCUGGUUCCUGCGCGGGUGAAGGGCGCCGGGCCGGGUCCGCACGAUGCCUCGUUCAGGUUUGAUCAAGAGGAUUUGAGCAGUCGAUGACCCGGGUAAUGAUCACUCCGCUGGUUUCUCAACGGAGACCGUGGUUACGACUUUUACUUCUCUAAUUGACGAGGA
rnacentral:rRNA from 1 species